GUGGGUGUAGCUCAACAGCACAGCACCUGCCUGGCAAGCAUGAGGUCCUGAGUUUGAUUCCCGGUACCCAAA
rnacentral:tRNA from 1 species